AAAUACCUUGCUAACCUACCAGGAGUAACAAACGGACCGUUUGGCUUUUACAGAGAUCUGUGACCUGCUUAUACACUACUCAUUAUGGCCCCAAGUUUUCUAUAGAGCAACUUUAACCCUCACAGAACAAGUUACUGGCAACCCAAGUUUUACUGCAUAUCCAUGGCAUCAUGAUAUGAGUCCCCUUGACUACAUAUUGGUGCUGAUACUGAACUUUCUUAAAUUUUGCCAAACGCAUGGACAUCUAAGUUAUUUCUCCUUAAUUUUUCAACCUCCUAAUUACUAAUAAAGUUGAGCACCA
rnacentral:lncRNA from 1 species